rnacentral:lncRNA from 1 species
AUGGCAGCCACCAAGGGCUGGGGAGUAAAAGUCCUUCGCAAUUUCUGACUGUCGUAAGAACUCGAUGAAGGCCAGAAAGGAGGAGGAGAUGGCAAAGUUAGCUGGGAUUGAGAAGAUGAUGGAGACAAGACACUUACAAGAUGGACAGGAAUGAUCACUGGGCAUCCAAGAACAAUUUAUGAAAGCCAAAUAUACAGCCUUAAAAUAGAAUGUGGACCUAAACACUGAGAAGCACCCCCCUUUUGUAAGAUUUGUGACAAAAAUUAAUUUGAGUGGAGUUAACAGUCCUAACGACAUGGUGGACCCAAGAGCCAAAUCACCGCUAGCAAAACGGCAGAAUUCAUAUAGCAUUCAAAGAUGUCCUGCAAGAGCUUUGGGCCUAAUGAUGUCGGUGCUUAAUGAUGUCUAUGGAAUAUAUGAAACUUCCUCAGCUGCGCGAAGGCCAAUGUUACAAGU